ACAAAUACCCACCAUUUGCUUCAACGUGGAUGGAGCUGGAGGGUAUUAUGCUGAGUGAAGUUCUCUCUCUGGAUUCAUCUGAGCUGAAGUUAAGAGCUUCUCCAAGACACUCUCCAAGAGGUGGAGAGCCCAGUGUUGCCCCAGUGCAAGGAGCCAGAAUCUGGAAGUUGCAUUUUCAGCUGCAGCCUUAGCCCAGCUAUGUGACAGGGGAGCCCCCACCAAUCAACUGCUUGACACUCUCAGGCCUAAAAAUGGAUUUAGAGCUGGAUUAAGGAGCUAUGCAUGCACCAAUGUGUCAGAGGCACUACAAGAGCCCUGGAAAUGGGAGUGGGAGAAAACUGUAUUUGUUAGGACUUCUCUCAAGGAAAGCAUCUUGUGUGAUUAAAAUAAAUGCUUCGAUAAACAUGAUGGAAGAGUUGAUGGAAAAACAAACCAUCCAUCAGGAGUCACUGGAGGACAGCAGAAGGCAUGGGGAUGUGAAUGAUACUCCCUGAGUGAUCCACACUAGUUUGUGUGUGGGACUCACUGCAGUGAGAGGACAGAACUGCUUUCCAAAUUUUGAGUUUUAUCUUGCACACACAGUCUCCAAGCUUUAGUCUCCCAGUCUCCUUUGCAAAAGGAAUGACCUUCCAAUGAUUUCCAUCCGAUUUUUAGCAAUAUAUCUUUCUAAUAGCUUAUUGUUUAAUCACUGAUCUUCCAAUAAGUCUGAAUCAAGUGGUCUUAUCUCCUUUUUCUAUCUUAUCCUAUCAUCUAAAUUACUAUUCCCAUGAUCAUUUAUUCAGUCAUACAUUAAUUAUAGACUUCUUACUUACCUAUGAAAAUCAGAAUCAGAAUCCUUCAGUGACUCCUAAAGUUCAAAUGUCCUAACACAGCAGACCUCUACCUUCAUGGUCUGCCUCCCCCCAGCUCUCCAAGUCAUCUUUAGUCACUCUUGUAUACACACUAUCCAAACACAGUCUUGUGUUUGGCUCCCUGUCUUUUCUGGCCUCUAGGCUUUAUAGAGUUGUUCCUCAAUGGAUCUCCUUCCCUUACACUGGGCGAAUUGUCACACUCCUUGUGUCCUCCAAGAGUCUGGGCAAGUAUCAUUCUUCCUUGUCUUUCUUGACAUGUCUUGCUUAAGGUAAGCCUUUGCUUUUUUGUGCGGCAAUAGUGUCUUGUCCAUAUGUCUAUUAUAGUAUUUAUGUUAAAUUAUUGAUUUAAGAAUCUUACUUCUACAAGAGGCAGGGAUCCAUAUUACUUUCAGGGUGUUCAUGAAUUCCCUGAGUUAUAGGUAAAAUUUUAUGUUGUAGGUUCAGAGCUCACAUCAGACUCACAACAGAGUCCCUAUUUACCCUCUCAAAACCAAAUUGAGAACUGCUACACUAGAUUAUGAGUCCCCGUGAAACAGAAAGUGAGUUCUGUACUUUGAAUUUCUAUAGUUAGAGGCCUAAUGUUAGCUGAAUGAACAUUUCAGUCAUUUUUUAGACUACAUAUUUAUAUUAGUAGAUAUAUACUAAAUUCAAUCUCCUCUAUUCAUUGAUUUUUUUAAGUAGAUGGGAAGUGUGAUACAGUAAAAAGUACAUUUUCUUUUGACAUUGGUCAAAAGGAAAGAUAUGGAAGCAUUUAUGCCAAACUA